rnacentral:misc_RNA from 1 species
UGGUUCUGGCAUCGAUGAAGAACGCAGCGAAAUGCGAUAAGUAGUGUGAAUUGCAGAAUUCAGUGAAUCAUCGAAUCUUUGAACGCACAUUGCGCCCCUUGGUAUUCCAUGGGGCAUGCCUGUUCGAGCGUCAUUGGCCUCCUCCAGCCCUGCUGGGUGCUGGGCGUUUGUUCCGCCGCGCGCGCGAACUCGCCUCAAAUGCAUUGGCCGCCCGUCGUCCCGUGGGGGAGCGCAGUACAUACCUCGCGCGCCCCUGCCCGCACGGCGGCGCCCACAAGCCUUUCUUAACGCUUGACCUCGGAUCAGGUAGGGAUACCCGCUGA